GACAGAGGCCUCAAGCGUUAGGCGGAAUCACUGGGCUUAAAGCGUGUGUAGGCGGAUCGUUAAGUGUCUUGUGAAAUCCCACGGCUCACCCGUGGAACUGCUGGGCAUACUGGCGAUCUUGGGCCAACUAGGGGCAACUGGAACAAGCGGUGGAGCGGUGAAAAUGCGUAGAUAAUCGCUUGGAACGCCAAAGGGUGAAAA
rnacentral:rRNA from 1 species